rnacentral:rRNA from 1 species
CAGCAGCCGCGGUAAUACGAAGGGUGCAAGCGUUACUCGGAAUUACUGGGCGUAAAGCGUGCGUAGGUGGUGGUUUAAGUCCGUUGUGAAAGCCCUGGGCUCAACCUGGGAAUUGCAGUGGAUACUGGGUCACUAGAGUGCGGUAGAGGAUAGUGGAAUUUCCGGUGUAGCAGUGAAAUGCGUAGAGAUCGGAAGGAACAUCUGUGGCGAAGGCGACUAUCUGGGCCAACACUGACACUGAGGCACGAAAGCGUGGGGAGCAAACAGGAUUAGAUACCCCCGUAGUCCCUGUCUCUUAUAC